AUGCUUGCUUCAGCAUCACAUAUACUAAAAUUGGAAUGAUAGAAAAGAUUAGUGUGGCCCCUGUGCAAGGAUGACACAUAAAAUGGGGUCACGUUCCCCACCUUG
rnacentral:snRNA from 1 species